rnacentral:lncRNA from 1 species
GGCUCUCCUGGACCCCCUGGACUCACUGGUCUAUGGAACAGCCUGGAACAGUGGGAGCAGAUUGGGAGCCCGGACCUCAGGGACACCAGGGACACUUUGGAGCCAGAGUGUGGGGAGCCAAAGUCAAUAAAGGAACAAGAGGAUUCACGGACCUACAGGAUCCACAGGGUCCCCUGACAGGUGUUGGGGACCUGGGUCCUCCUGGAGAGAAGGUAAUUGGGAAAGGGGUAAAGGGGAUGAAAGGACCAGUCUUGUGCAUGAGGAAUGAGAGUUGGAUUUCUGCCAAUUUUUGUUGAGGAGACAAAAGAGAAUAAACCGUGGAGAAUACCAGGAUUUUGUGAGGGGGAAAUGAAGUUUUUGACCCCAAUCUCUUUGCUACUGGAGCCAGGAGAGACAGGAUCUCCAGGAAUCCAGGGUGAGCCAGGUGUCAGGGUCUUGGUUUUCCUGGAGACCCUGGCCUCCCGGAAGAAGGUAGUUCAUGAUCAGGACAGUGUUAAGGGUGACUACGGCAAGGAUGGUGAGCCAAGACAGCCUGGUCAGCUAGGGAUAGUCAUGACUCUAACCAAGAGUCAUUUAGGACACAGGAAGAUACCGAAUGAGGAAACUCUCCCCAGUCCUGAACUCAUCCACAAAUUAGAAUACAUAGGUCCAGCCCAGGUGCAGUGGCUGAAGCCUGCAAUCCUCCCGCUUCCUGCUUCGGGAGACCAAGGCAAGAGGAUCUCUUAAAGUGUGAGUUGGAGGCCAGCUUGGGUGACACAACCAGGAAAAGCAAGUGACCACCAGGUGGCACCGGAGACCCGGAGAGCUGGGCCCAAGUUCCCUGGGAGGGAUCUGCACCCAGCCUGGGAUGGCGCAUGGGUACCUCACGGGACACCCGGCCUCAUCCUGGUAGCCCCGUGCUUGCAUUUCCUGGCCCUGGGGUGUCCUCGCUGACCGCACAUGUGUGUAGAAACCAUUCCUCAUCUCCCAAGAGGGAUUUGGAACAAUUCUCACCUGACCUAAUGAGGGAUGGCACCCAGGCUCAGGGUCCCCUUUUUGUCCUCAGAGCAUGACUAGGCCCGUGGCUGUUGCUCAUUGUCCAAGAGCAUGGGAGGUUGCCUGUGGCGAGGCCCUAGAGGACCCUCCUGUGCUACCUGGGACCAGGAGGCCCAGCUGCCUUCUCCUAGUACCUCUCACGUCUAGGGGACUGUGCAGGAAAUGGGUGCAGAGGCCAUUGCGGUGGCUGCUCCUGGGGUCCCAGCAGCUCUGGCCAAGGCGGGAGGAGCCGGGGAGCCCAGGAGGCUGAGGCCCCUGUCCUACCACUCUGGUCAUGCUGCAGUCUCUGUCACCACCACAAACUGCAGUGAGGUGAGCCACUGGGCUGCAGGCUCUAGCCUCCAGUGUGUGACAGGUGCCUCCCCUUUCUGACUCCUCCUGUAGCGGGACACAGAGAAGCUCUGCUCAUGGCCGCCUCCUACCACUCUGACCACUCUGCAGUCUUGGUGGCCACCACUAACCACAGGGAGCCUGGCCAGGGGCUGCAAGUUGCAGCCUCCACCCACUCCUCUAAGUCAGGCAUGGAGCAACAGUGAAGCAGUGGCAGAAGAGGCUGGAAUGGCAGAACACACCCUCAACGUGCAUUAUAUAUAGAGGUUACAGAAAUGAGGUCCUGGACUUUGUGUUCUGAUUGGAUGGGGGAAAACCUCUAGGCCUACUCUGAUUGGACUUUAUCUUCAUAUCCUGAUUGGUUAUCCUAAGAGUUGCUCUCAUCUAAUCUUCUUUAUAAGUGGUCAUCUUUGUAAGUUCAUGCCCAUUGGGAGUUAGUGAAGUUGUGAAUGAUUACAUUUAAACUUAUCCUGUAAUUUUAGUCUGACUUAUUAAUUCCACCUAUCUGCUUAAGCAAAUUAUUCUCUAUAAUGAUGACCCAAGCAAAUUCCUGUCCCAAGAUGGUAUCAAGAUGAUACCCCAAGUUCCUCUCCAGAAUGGUAUCUGGAUAUAUGUGGAGGGAAAUAUUUUUUCUAGGCCUGUAUUAAAUAUGGCACUAAAGCUUAGUGGCUUAAAACAAUACACUCUUAUUAUCUCACAGCUUCUGUGAAUAAGUAGUUCAGGAGAAUGUAGUUGGGUGAUUCGUCCAAGAGUCUCAAAAGGUUGCAGUCAAUCUGUUGGUGAGAAUUGUAGUUACUUGAAGACUUGGCUAGAGUUAAAGAAUUUGUAUCAAAGAUGGCUUAUUCAUGGCCAUUGGAUGGAAGCCUCAGUUUCAGAAUGGCUCUUGGAAAUAGGUCUUUUUACUUGCCACGUAGACCUCUCCAUAGGCUGACUGAAUGUCCUCCAAUGUGUCAUCUGGCUUUCUCCAGUGCAAAAGAUCCAAGAAGAGAGUAUGAAGGAACACGUAAUGCUCUUUAUAAUUUUGUCACAGACCGUCACUUUUGCCAUACUGUAUUGUUUGGAAGUUAGUCACUAAGUCUAGCCCACACUCAAAAGAAUGAGAAUUAACCUCCACCUUUGGAAGAGAGUCUACUCAAAGCACUUGUGGACAUGUUUUGAAACCACAAAGGGGUAUGUCUGCCGGUCUCCAAGAUGGCCCCCAGUGAUUCUCAUCAACUAUUAUUAAUACUUUCGUAUAGUCCCUUCCCACAAGAAAAAAGGGUUGAUCUGUUUAAUUAGUAUGAUUUUGUUGAAAUGACAGAGUCUGACUUCCAAGUUUAGGUCAUAAGAAGAAUUUUGACUUCUGCCUUGUUCUCUGUUGGAUCAAUAUCCCUAGGGGAAGCUAGAUGCAAUGUCAUGAAACCAUUCAAACAGUCCCAUGGAACAAUCCAUCUAGCAAGGAACUGAUGUCUCCUAGCAAUAGCUGGCAUUAACUUACAGGCCGUAUGAGUGGGUCAUCUUAGAGUUGGAUUCUUCAGUCCAAAUCAAGUCUUCAGAUAACUGUAGCCCUGGCUGACAUCUUGAUUACAUCCUCAAGAGAGACCCUGAGCCACAAUCACUCAGUUAAGCCACCGAGUUCUUUUUGCCAAGAACUUUUUUUUUACCAAGUUCUUUUUGCCACCAACUUUAUUGAGGUAUAAUUGACAGUUACAAUUGUAUAUAUUUAAGGAAUACAACUUGAUGAUUUGAUAUACGCAUACAUUGUGAAAUAAUCGUGACAAUUAGGUUAACAUAUUCAUUACUUCACAUAAUUACCAUUUUCGUGCGUGUGUGUGUGUGUGUGUAGUGAAAACACUUAAGAUCUAUCCUCCUAGCAAAUUUCAAGUGUACAAUAUACUGUUGUUAACUACGGUCAUAUUAUUGUAUACUAUGUCUCCAGAAGUUAUCCACCUUGUGUAACUGAGAUGCUGUACCCUUGACCAAUGUCUCCCCAUUUUCUUCUCCCUCCAGCCCCUGGUAACUACCCUUCUACUUUCCAGUUCUAUAAAUUUAGAUUCCAUAUAUAAGUCAAAUUUUUGACCCUUGGAAGCUGGAU